rnacentral:rRNA from 1 species
UAGUUAAAUUUUGAAGGUAAAUUCUGCCCUAUGAUUAUUUAAAUGGCUGCAGUAUUCUGACUGUGCAAAGGUAGCAUAAUAAUUAGUCUUUUAAUUGAAGGCUGGUAUGAAUGAAUAUAUGAAAAAUUAAUUUUAUUAUUUUUAAAAUUAAAAUUUGCUAUAUUAGUAAAAAAGCUUAUUUAGUUUUUUGGGACGAUAAGACCCUAUAGAACUUAAAUAUUAAUAAUAUUUAUUUUAUUUUAAUAAAUAAUUUUAAUAGUUUUAUUAAUAUUUUUUUUGGGGCGGAUAAUAAAUUUGACUUUAUUUUUUUAUUUCAUUUAAUUUAUGUUUUAUUGAUCCAUUUAUGAUUAUAAGACAAAGUUACCUUAGGGAUAACAGCGUAAUUUUAAUGAGGAGUUCAUAUUUAUAUUAGAGUUUGCGACCUCGAUGUUGAAUUAAGAUUAGAUUGAGGGGCAG